GCGACCGGAUGCGGAUCUCGAAAGCCUGUCCCAGUUCGGACUGGAGUCUGCAACCCGACUCCACGAAGUUGGAUUCGCUAGUAAUCGCGCAUCAGCCAUGGCGCGGUGAAUACGUUCCCGGGCCUUGUACACACCGCCCGUCAAGCCAUGGGAGCCGGGGGCGCCUGAAGUCCGGGACCGCGAGGACCGGCCUAGGGCGAAACUGGUAACUGGGGCUAAGUCGUAACAAGGUAUC
rnacentral:rRNA from 1 species